GGCUUGGUAACUAAGUUGCUAGAGCGUCGCGUUUAUAAUGCGAAUGUUGUUGGUUCGAUCCUCAUUCAAGCCU
rnacentral:tRNA from 1 species